AUUGAACGCUGGCGGCAGGCCUAACACAUGCAAGUCGAGCGGAGCGGCGGACGGGAGAGUAAUGCCUAGGAAUCUGCAUGGUCGUGGGGGAUAACGUACGGAAACGGGCGCUAAUACCGCAUACUAUCAGAUGAGCCUCGUUCGGAUUAGCUUGUGGGUGGUGGAAAGGCCAACAAAGGGGACGAUCCGUAACUGGUCUGAGAGGAUGAUCAGGCACAGUGGAAUUGAGCAACGGCCCAGACUCCUGCGGGAGGCAGCAGUGGGGAAUAUUGGAAAAGGGGCGAAAGCCUGAUCCAGCCAUGCCGCGUGUGUGAAGAAGGUCUUCGGAUUGUAAAGCACUUUAAGUUGGGAGGCGUUACCAACAGAAUAAGCACCGGCUAACUUCGUGCCAGCCGCCGCGGUAAUAC
rnacentral:rRNA from 1 species